UGUCAUGAUUUCUCCUUUCACCUAAACCUAAACUCUUCCCCUCUUUCAAUUGAGCGGCUCCUCUCCCACAACGAACCUGACCGAGAAGCACCCCUCUUACAAUUUAGCGGCUCCUCUCCCACAACGAAUAAGACACAGUUUAGAGAUUCAGGUUGUGAGAAUUGUCAAUUCUUUAAGAUGGAAGAAGAUCAUGAGCGGAUUGCGGAUUGCACUACCCCCAAUUUCAAUGGGUGGGAUUGUUUAUUUGUAUUGUCAUCAAAUUGAAACCCCUUUUUAGAAUUUCUCCAUUCUCAUUUUGUUGUUAAUUUUUUUUCUACAGGAUUAUUUCAAUCAUGGAUCCAAGUCGGAGUUGGGCUGCGCGUUGGUUGCGAAUUGGUAUUUUUCUUUUAUCUUCUGUUAGUUGUGCUAAUUGUAAUUGUCCUUUGCCUUGGCUGUUGCUAAUAAGGAAUCAAACAAAUGGGGUUUAGAGGGAUAUAUUGUUUCAAUUUGUAUUUUGAAUUACUCAUUUGCUAUGCUGUUUUCCCUUCUAUUCUAGAGGUUUUUACCCUUCUCAAUUAUACACGUUUUAUUCAACUUUAAUUACGCAAAAGUUGAAGAAACUCAAGUGCCACUUCGCUUAGACCUUCAACUUCAGUUCUUCAAGGUUUCUUUGAUGCAGUCACUCUUCUGUUGAGGAACAAUGUCAACAAAAGAGAGGCACUUGAGAACUUGGACCUCAUUCUUUUAUGCCCUGAUGAGAUUGUCGUUCAGCCUCUACCCGUGCUUGGGAACUCAGAACCUCCUUGAAAAUUGUUGCACGACAAGAAGAAGAAGAAGAAGCACGAGCAUGGACAUGACCAUGACAGUAGCAGCAGCAGAGACAGCGAUUAUGUCAUGUGUUUAUGCUUUCUUAAAAUUUAACCAUAUAAUCAUUAUGUGACAUUUUAUUGCUGAUUAAUAAAAAUGGUAAUAUAUUACUUGCAUUUUCUAAUGUGUUGAUUGCUUCUCAUGCUACCUGCAGGUUCAGCAGUGCUGCAUAAACUGUGGAGUAUGCAUGGGCAAGUACUUUUGUGCUACAUGCAAAUUCUUUGAUGAUGAUGAUUUUGUGGCUUACCUGCACCUACAUGAAUAUGCAUAGGCGGCUGCCGGAGAAAAUGAACAAGUAACAAGGGCCGGCUGGGAGAAACAGGGGAGGGGAGCUUGUUGUGGAUCCAGUUUAGGGUUCUUGAUCGAGUCUCUCUCAAUUUCUUCUCCUCUCCUCUGGUUAUCCGUUUUCCCCCGCCCGUGUCCCCUGCUAUUGCCUACUGGCUACUAUCAUACCUUCUGCUCGUUGGUGGCUAGGUUUUGUAGGUGGGUGUUGUUCUUUGUUUUCCUGUCCUGGUUGGUGAAUGGAUCUUGAAGGUGGGUUUUGUGCUCGUGGUGGGCCUCAUCCCUGUGCUCGUUGGUAAGGUUUACUCGUUUGGUUUCCUUUGGGUUAUCGUGGUAGAUGGUGUUAAACCGCAGCAGCCACAUGUCUCAUGGAACGCAGGAGUCUUGUUCCAACCCUCAUUCUUCUGAACUACCAUUUCAGGGGGAAAAUCUAGUUAGAUUGAUUAGUGAAUGUGAUGAGCAGCAGCAAGAUGUGUCUUGUGGGGAUGACGCACUGCAAGAGCAAGUGCCUGUUCAGCAAGAGCAAGUGCCUGUUCGGCAAGGGGAAAAAGGUUCUGUUGAUGAAGAGGAAGGGUCUGAUGAUGAUUCAGAUGAAGGGUCUGAUGAUGAUUCAGAUGAAGGUUCUGGUGAAGAUUCAGAUGAAGGGUCUGGUGAUGAAGAAGAAGAGUCUGGUGAUGAUGAAGAUAUUGGUGAUGAGCAGCCACUUUGCGAUACAAUUCCAAUUCUAAUCAAUGGUAUGGAGGAUAGGGCUGAGCAGAAUUAUCCAUCCCGACCCAAACCCGAAAAAACCGACCAAAAAAUAAGUAAUGGGUCGAGUUGGGUCGGAUAGACGGGUAAGACAAAAUGGAAAGACAGUCUCAUACGGGUGAUAAUGGUCGGGUGCCGGUUAGGAAUUUAAAAUCCACUUGUACCCGAACCCGACCGCAUAUCAGUGUUGUGUGUUUAAAUUAAAACUACUUUUUAGCCUUGCAGCAGUCUGCACUCUGCAAUUUGCGCAGAGAGGUAUUUGCUUUCUAUUUUUUUAAUAGCUAAAAAGUAAAAGUAGCCAUUAUUUAAUGCAUUUGUUUGUAAAGAAGUGAUUGCAUGUCUUAAUCAAAGAAAAAGCUUCUGGUCCAUCACCGUUUCACAUGACAUGUUUUCUUUCUGACAUACUAGGCUACUAGCCUUUCACGUGAAAAAAAGAGGUUUGAGAAAUAAAUCAAAUACUUUCAUGAGUUAUCAGUUCAUCACUUUAUCUUCUUCAUAUCAAUUUUCUGGUCCUUCUCUUGCUCUCCUUCUCCCACCACACUGCCACAGUGCCACUUCAGUCCAGCACCAUUCUCUUCCUUCUCCCCCUUCCUCUUCUCUUCCUGUCCGCACCUAUUAUGCUCUCCGCAACUCUAUUUUCUCCCUUGCUUCAUCUAGGGAACACCAUUGUUAAUCAUCUUUGAACAAAAAAACCAUGCAAGAUGAGAGCUUUACCAUCUCUAAUGGUGGUGGCACUGCAACGACGACCGCCGCUACCUUGUCUUAGUCAUGGAACACAGCCUCUCCACCAAGCUCUAAAAUACCCGUUCUAACCGACCCGCACAACCCGCUCAUCGAUUCAACCCGCACCCGACAUAUCCGAGGCUUCCAUGGUCGGAAAUGGUUUGGAAUAUGCUUGAUUCAAACCCGUUAAAACCCGAUAUAAUACACCCGAGCCCGCCCGAAACCGACCCGUGCUCAACCCUAAUGGAGGAUAUGGGGGGAGUAAAUUUCAAGGAAUUGUCUAUGAAAG